UCCCUCCAGAUCCCUUACCCGUCAGAUCUAAAUGUUGGUCCGAGAGACUAAAAAGGGAGCAAAAGUCAAACUCAAGUGGACUUGGAGCUUGUCAUGGCAUACAAAUUCAUUUCAAACAUUA
rnacentral:snoRNA from 1 species